UUUGUUGUUCCUUAAACAGUAACUUUCUACUUUUCCAUUGUUUCCCCUGAAACAAUACUGUUAUUUUAAAUGUUAAAUCAUAGUUAAUAUCAAACCUUGUUAUUUUUUGAAAAUAAUCUUUUCAAAUCACAAAGACAAUUUAGCAACAUUACAAAACAUUUGGAAAUGAGAAGAAGGGAAAACAGUAGUCUUAAUUCCUCUACUUUUAAAAACUACCAUUCAUCUGGUAUAAUGGUUUUAGUUUCUAUAGUCUUUUAAGAAUUUUUUUAUUGUCAUAACCAUAUGUACAUACAAUUUUGAAUCCUGCCUUUUUCACUUAGCAUUAUAUCAUAAGCAUUUUUCCAAGUUAUUAUAGUCGUUAUAACCAUCGUUUUUAAUUGGCUGCAUUAUAUUCUUUUGAAUAGCUUAGUGGUGAAGAAAACAGACUGUGGAGCCAGACUGCCUGGGUUCGUAUCCCAGCUCUACCACUUACUGGCUCUAUGAUCUUGGUUAAGUUAUUUAACCUCUCUGUGUCUCAGUUUUCCCAUUCUAUAAAAUGCAAAUAAUGAUAUGCUCUACCUCAUAGGGUUAUAAGGAUUAAAUGUGUUAGCAUAUGUAAAGUACUUAGUGUGCCUGACAUAUAGUAAAUGCUCUAGAUCUUGUCAAGAAUUAUUGUCAUCAUUACUGAGUGCACGUAUCAAAAAUUAUUUAAGUAUGUCCUGUUUGGGGACUUUUAGGUUGCUUCCAUUUCUUGUCCUUUUAAAACCUUGUUAUGAGUAACAAAGUGUACCUUUUAAGAUAUUCUUCAGAAUUAUUUUUCAUAGGCUAUUUUACUCUACAGUUUUUUAAACUUUUAAAUUGGCUUGUGCUCCACUUGAAGGUAUUUGUACCGCAUCUACACCUUUUGUAUUAUUGGGAGAUGUUUUGGAUUGUCUUCCUUUGGAUCAGUGUGACACAAUAUUCACUUUUGUGGAAAAAAAUGUUGCUACUUGGAAAUCAAAUACAUUCUAUUCUGCUGGGAAAAAUUACUUACUACGUAUGUGCAAUGAUCUCCUAAGAAGAUUGUCUAAAUCCCAGAAUACAGUCUUCUGUGGACGGAUUCAGCUCUUUUUGGCCAGACUUUUCCCUCUGUCUGAGAAAUCAGGUCUUAACUUGCAGAGUCAGUUUAAUCUGGAAAAUGUCACUGUUUUCAAUACCAAUGAGCAGGAAAGCACCCUGGGUCAGAAGCACACUGAAGAUAGAGAAGAAGGAAUGGAUGUAGAAGAAGGCGAAAUGGGAGAUGAGGAAGCUCCAACAACGUGCUCUAUUCCAAUUGAUUACAACCUGUAUAGAAAAUUCUGGUCACUUCAGGAUUACUUCAGGAACCCUGUGCAAUGCUAUGAGAAGAUUUCAUGGAAAACUUUUCUCAAGUAUUCUGAAGAAGUUUUAGCUGUUUUUAAGAGUUAUAAAUUAGAUGAUACUCAGGCCUCAAGAAAAAAGAUGGAAGAAUUGAAAACAGGAGGAGAGCAUGUAUAUUUUGCAAAAUUUUUAACAAGUGAAAAGCUGAUGGAUUUACAACUGAGUGACAGUAACUUUCGUCGACACAUCCUGUUGCAGUAUCUCAUUUUAUUCCAAUAUCUCAAGGGGCAGGUCAAAUUCAAAAGUUCAAACUAUGUUUUAACUGAUGAACAAUCACUUUGGAUUGAAGAUACUACAAAAUCAGUUUAUCAACUACUAUCUGAAAACCCCCCCGAUGGAGAAAGAUUUUCAAAGAUGGUAGAGCAUAUAUUAAACACUGAAGAAAACUGGAACUCGUGGAAAAAUGAAGGUUGCCCAAGUUUUGUGAAACAUCAGAUACCAAACCUACGAGAAUAAUUCGGAAGAGAACAGCACCCGAGGACUUCCUAGGGAAAGGACCCAGCAAAAAAAUUCUGAUGGGAAAUGAGGAGUUAACAAGGCUUUGGAAUCUUUGUCCUGAUAAUAUGGAAGCCUGUAAAUCAGAGACAAGGGAAUACAUGCCCACUUUGGAGGAAUUCUUUGAAGAAGCCAUUGAACAGGCAGACCCUGAAAAUAUGGUUGAAAAUGAAUAUAAGGCUGUGAACAAUUCAAAUUAUGGUUGGAGAGCCCUGAGACUAUUAGCACGGAGAAGCCCUCACUUCUUCCAGCCAACCAACCAGCAGUUUAAAAGUUUACCAGAAUAUCUUGAAAAUAUGGUAAUAAAGCUAGCCAAGGAAUUACCGCCUCCUUCUGAAGAAAUAAAAACAGGCGAGGAUGAAGAUGAGGAAGAUAAUGAUGCUUUACUGAAGGAAAAUGAAAGUCCUGAUGUUCGGCGAGACAAACCUGUAACAGGAGAACAAAUAGAGGUAUUUGCCAACAAGCUGGGUGAACAAUGGAAGAUUCUGGCUCCCUACUUGGAAAUGAAAGACUCAGAAAUUAGGCAGAUUGAGUGUGACAGUGAAGACAUGAAGAUGAGAGCUAAGCAGCUCCUGGUUGCCUGGCAAGAUCAAGAGGGAGUUCAUGCAACACCUGAGAAUCUGAUUAAUGCACUGAAUAAGUCUGGAUUAAGUGACCUUGCAGAAAGUCUAACUAAUGACAAUGAGACAAAUAGUUAGCUUCUUUUUUUUUCUUUUUAUUAAAACUGUGAUAGAUUUUGUUACCAAGCAGCAUUUGAUAAGAGGUCCACUGGUUUUGGUAAACAAUAAACAUUUUUAUAACA
rnacentral:sRNA from 1 species